rnacentral:rRNA from 1 species
UACGUAGGGGGCAAGCGUUGUCCGGAAUCAUUGGGCGUAAAGCGCGUGUAGGCGGCCCGGUAAGUCCGCUCUGAAAGUCCAGGGCUCAACCCUGGGAUGCCGGUCGAUACUGCCGGACUAGAGUUCGGAAGAGGCGAGUGGAAUUCCCGGUGUAGCGGUGAAAUGCGCAGAUAUCGGGAGGAACACCAAUGGCGAAGGCAGCUCGCUGGGACGUUACUGACGCUGAGACGCGAAAGCGUGGGGAGCAAACAGG